rnacentral:tRNA from 1 species
UCCCUGGUGGCUCAGACAGUAAAGCGUCUGCCUGCAAUGCUGGAGAUCCAGGUUCACUCCCUGGUCCAGGAA